rnacentral:rRNA from 1 species
UUGUUGGUAAGGUAAAAGCUUACCAAGGCUUCGAUCAGUAGCUGGUCUGAGAGGACGACCAGCCACACUGGGACUGAGACACGGCCCAGACUCCUACGGGAGGCAGCAGUGGGGAAUUUUGGACAAUGGGGCAACCCUGAUCCAGCCAUGCCGCGUGAGUGAAGAAGGCRUUCGGGUUGUAAAGCUCUUUCAGCCGGAACGAAACGGUUACGGUUAACACCCGUGACUACUGACGGUACCGGAAGAAGAAGCACCGGCUAACUACGUGCCAGCAGCCGCGGUAAUACGUAGGGUGCGAGCGUUAAUCGGAAUUACUGGGCGUAAAGCGUGCGCAGGUGGUUUUGUAAGUCAGAUGUGAAAGCCCCGGGCUCAACCUGGGAACUGCGUUUGAAACUACAAGACUAGAGUGUGGCAGAGGGGGGUGGAAUUCCGCGUGUAGCAGUGAAAUGCGUAGAGAUGUGGAGGAACACCGAUGGCGAAGGCAGCCCCCUGGGUCAACACUGACGCUCAGGCACGAAAGCAUGGGGAGCAAACAGGAUUAGAUACCCUGGUAGUCCAUGCCCUAAACGAUGUCAACUAGUUGUCGGGCCUUUACGGGCUUGGUAACGUAGCUAACGCGUGAAGUUGACCGCCUGGGGAGUACGAUCGCAAGAUUAAAACUCAAAUGAAUUGACGGGGACCCGCACAAGCGGUGGAUUAUGUGGAUUAAUUCGAUGCAACGCGAAAAACCUUACCUACCCUUGACAUGUAUCGAAGCCCGCAGAAAAGCGGGGGUGCCCGAAAGGGAACGAUAACACAGGUGCUGCAUGGCUGUCGUCAGCUCGUGUCGUGAGAUGUUGGGUUAAGUCCCGCAACGAGCGCAACCCUUGUCAUUAAUUGCCAUCAUUUAGUUGGGCACUUUAAUGAGACUGCCGG